AUCCUGGCUCAGAUUGAACGCUGGCGGCAUGCCUUACACAUGCAAGUCGAACGGUAACAGGUCUUCGGAUGCUGACGAGUGGCGAACGGGUGAGUAAUACAUCGGAACGUGCCCGAUCGUGGGGGAUAACGGAGCGAAAGCUUUGCUAAUACCGCAUACGAUCUACGGAUGAAAGCGGGGGAUCUUCGGACCUCGCGCGGACGGAGCGGCCGAUGGCAGAUUAGGUAGUUGGUGGGAUAAAAGCUUACCAAGCCGAUGAUCUGUAGCUGGUCUGAGAGGAUGAUCAGCCACACUGGGACUGAGACACGGCCCAGACCCCUACGGGAGGCAGCAGUGGGGAAUUUUGGACAAUGGGCGCAAGCCUGAUCCAGCCAUGCCGCGUGCAGGAUGAAGGCCUUCGGGUUGUAAACUGCUUUUGUACGGAACGAAAAGGUGCCUUCUAAUAAAGGGCGCUCAUGACGGUACCGUAAGAAUAAGCACCGGCUAACUACGUGCCAGCAGCCGCGGUAAUACGUAGGGUGCAAGCGUUAAUCGGAAUUACUGGGCGUAAAGCGUGCGCAGGCGGUUUUGUAAGACAGAGGUGAAAUCCCCGGGCUCAACCUGGGAACUGCCUUUGUGACUGCAAGGCUGGAGUGCGGCAGAGGGGGAUGGAAUUCCGCGUGUAGCAGUGAAAUGCGUAGAUAUGCGGAGGAACACCGAUGGCGAAGGCAAUCCCCUGGGCCUGCACUACGCUCUGCAC
rnacentral:rRNA from 1 species